UCGCUUCUUUAUGAAGUUAGCGGCGGACGGGUGAGUAACACGUGGGUAACCUGCCCAUAAGACUGGGAUAACUCCGGGAAACCGGGGCUAAUACCGGAUAACAUUUUGAACCGCAUGGUUCGAAAUUGAAAGGCGGCUUCGGCUGUCACUUAUGGAUGGACCCGCGUCGCAUUAGCUAGUUGGUGAGGUAACGGCUCACCAAGGCAACGAUGCGUAGCCGACCUGAGAGGGUGAUCGGCCACACUGGGACUGAGACACGGCCGAGACUCCUACGGGAGGCAGCAGUAGGGAAUCUUCCGCAAUGGACGAAAGUCUGACGGAGCAACGCCGCGUGAGUGAUGAAGGCUUUCGGGUCGUAAAACUCUGUUGUUAGGGAAGAACAAUUGCUAGUUGAAUAAGCUGGCACCUUGACGGUACCUAACCAGAAAGCCACGGCUAACUACGUGCCAGCAGCCGCGGUAAUACGUAGGUGGCAAGCGUUAUCCGGAAUUAUUGGGCGU
rnacentral:rRNA from 1 species